UCCCACAGAUCAGGGACCUCAAAUUUCUGCUGAUGGAUCUACUGAAACAAUGGUGCUUACCACCAAACCACAGGGUGCCCAAGUAGAAAUUAACAAACUCUGCCCUAUGAGUCACCACAGAUGUUGAACAUGUGGAGUUGUUUAUUCUCAUGUCUCAAAAUGGAAAACUCCCUCAGGACUUUAUAAACAUCCAGAAGUGAAAGAAAUUUCAGAGCUGCUGUUCAACACGACAAUUCAGAUCAGGAAAAUAAAACUCUUCAAAUAUUAUCGGAGCUCUGCCCCUUACCUCUGCCUGGACUCCCGAUUGGCCAUUCACAAG